CCUACGGGUGGCAGCAGUGGGGAAUAUUGCGCAAUGGGCGAAAGCCUGACGCAGCGACGCCGCGUGAGGGAUGAAGGUCUUCGGAUCGUAAACCUCUGUCAGCAGGGAAGAACGGUCACUGUGCUAAUCAGCAGUGAAUUGACGGUACCUGCAAAGGAAGCACCGGCUAACUCCGUGCCAGCAGCCGCGGUAAUACGGAGGGUGCGAGCGUUAAUCGGAAUUACUGGGCGUAAAGCGCUCGUAGGCGGUAUGUCAAGUCAAGGGUGAAAUCCCCGCGCUCAACGUGGGAACUGCCUUUGAAAAUGGCAAACUGGGGGGUGUGAGAGGGUAGUGGAAUUCCAGGUGUAGGAGUGAAAUCCGUAGAUAUCUGGAGGAACAUCAGUGCCGAAGGCGACUAUCUGGCACAUAACUGACGCUGAGGAGCGAAAGCGUGGGUAGCAAACAGGAUUAGAUACCCCAGUAGUC
rnacentral:rRNA from 1 species